AGCAGGUUUUCCAGAGGUUUUAUUUGAUCAUACCUGAACCUCUGCUUAGAUCCCAGUUAACUGCUACAAAAUAGGCACCCCUAAGAUAUUCCCCAGCAGCAGCAGCAAGAAAUGACAGAAGCGCGAGCAGGCAGCGUGACAUUCCUGCCAUUGCAGCCACACACGGCUUUGACCCCAACGGUGCAAAGCUGAGCUCCUCAACCAGCAGCACGCUUUGAAAGAGGAACAGAAAGGGAGCAGCCAUAGAAAAUAAUGGUUUCCUGCACUGAGGGCUG